rnacentral:rRNA from 1 species
AUUGAACGCUGGCGGCAGGCUUAACACAUGCAAGUCGAGCGGAGUUGUGGUGCUUGCACCAUAACUUAGCGGCGGACGGGUGAGUAAUGCUUAGGAAUCUGCCUAUUAGUGGGGGACAACAUCUCGAAAGGGAUGCUAAUACCGCAUACGUCCUACGGGAGAAAGCAGGGGACCUUCGGGCCUUGCGCUAAUAGAUGAGCCUAAGUCGGAUUAGCUAGUUGGUGGGGUAAAGGCCUACCAAGGCGACGAUCUGUAGCGGGUCUGAGAGGAUGAUCCGCCACACUGGGACUGAGACACGGCCCAGACUCCUACGGGAGGCAGCAGUGGGGAAUAUUGGACAAUGGGGGGAACCCUGAUCCAGCCAUGCCGCGUGUGUGAAGAAGGCCUUUUGGUUGUAAAGCACUUUAAGCGAGGAGGAGGCUACUGGUAUUAAUACUACCGGAUAGUGGACGUUACUCGCAGAAUAAGCACCGGCUAACUCUGUGCCAGCCGCCGCAGUAACAC